rnacentral:lncRNA from 1 species
AUUAGCACUGGACAAAAACAAAUAGAUAUCACCAAGAUGAAAAUUCAGAGUAUGAGUAUCUCUAUAGGCAGGGAAUUCAGUACUCGUAUAUAAGAUAGCAUUGCCAACAAUCUAACAAAGGUAAGGAAACCUUACCACACAAGACAAGCCAUCUUUGACAUACAUCCUAAUUAAGGUGGAAUAGUUUCAGUCUCUGGUUGAAUGCUCAUGAGCUUAUUCGUUAGUACAUAGAAGCUAAUUUCCCUUAAAUAUCAGCGCAAUAUCAUGUUUGAGCUAAUUUCUCCAAGAAUAAUGGGAGUACUCACUUUAGCAAUGAGAAGGAUUCUAGGUAGUAGUUGUCCACUAUCUUUUGAACUUCUUCAAGAAUACAUUUGCGCAAUUGUCUGGCCGAG